GGAAGAUGCAGUCAACAAUGAAACUGAAGUAGAAAUGAGGGACGCCACUGACCUUGAUUCGGACGAAGACGUCAGCAGCGAUAAUGAAGACGUCAGCAGCGAUAAUGAAGAUGUCAGCAGCGAUAAUGAAGAUGUAAGCAGC
rnacentral:sRNA from 1 species